AUAAAAAAACAACCAUCUGCACCGGUUGUUGAGGUACUUUAUAAAAGGUGAGACACUAAUUUAAUUGUGUUACUACUCACAUGUAGUAGUUUACACGGGUAUCAUGUUCAACUAUUUAAAUCAGAACAUUAGUUUAGUUAGCUUCUGACAGGCUUGUCCAGCUUUCCAACAAUAACCUUUGCUCAUUUUGUUGUCCUGUUCUCGCUCAGUAGACUCUGUUUAUGUGUUUUGGAUUGGUUCUGUUUACGGGUGCCGACUGAGCGGGGGAAACCUUGUCAUUUUUUUACUCGAGUGAAUCCGCCCACAUGCUGCCUUUUCACAUUCUUUCAGGUUUUCCUUAAUUCACAACUCGCCUGCAGAUAGCCUGGCUUAAACAAAGCUGUGAGAACUCGUGCAUUGCCAAUAAGCUGAUGAAGCUUCUUACUCAAAAAGCCAACUAAUCAUUUCACUAAUUAAUAUAAUAGCAACAUGAACUAUUACUUCACAAGACAUAUAAAUUUGUGUGAGACCCUCUUCUAAUUAAUUAGAUAGAGACGUAAGGUUAGAGCACCAGGUGAGCGGAACUGUGCCCCCCUGGAAUCAUCCCCAAUGUCAGACGCUGAAAUUAGUGUUAUUAUUCAUUUUAUACAUUUUUAUGAAAAUGUAUUGAUAUGAUAUUCAUUCAUAAUUUUGUCACAGGAUUGCAACAAAAUACCCGUCUUGAUUAUUUCUCAACAGGCCGCCAAUGCCAAGAAAAACAGUUGACUGGUGUGGACUGCUACUGCAAACCUGCUGCCGUCAGAUAUCUGUGUCACAGCAUCGCCGGUCCGGGAUCAAGGGGUCAAGGGGUCAAGGGGUGUCCCACGCACUCCACCCAAAACCACCAGAGAGAGCAUGCCACUGGAAAGAGAUUUGUUUCAUGACAGCGUCAGUCCGUGGCGCGCUUAAAGGGGUUUAAAAGACGCUGCUUGUGUUUCCUGUGUUAAUCACAGCCCUCUGCUCUCUGUGGUGUAAAGACGAUUUCUGGCAAACGGAGGUUUAAUGCGGGGUCAUUAUUGCCAGUCCAUCCUGUUUCUGGUGUCAUUAGCACAGAGCUGUGGGCCCGGUGACAUGUACUCAUGAAACUCUCCCUUUUACAACAAAUCAUAGUGAUUAUUUGAAGACACGUGCGUUCGAGCUCUCAAACGUCCACUGAGAUUGUUACAUCUGAUUCAGCUGUAAACAGGGAAAGAAAUCUAUUAUCUAUCUGUUAAUCUAUUGUGAUGAUGAUGAAUAAUGAUAAUUGAUCCGUGGUAGCAACAUGGUGCCGGACUGUACAUCAGAGCUCCAUCAUUACAUUUCACAUAUUGACAUAAUGUCACUGAUCACGUGCAAUAAGGAUCAAUAAGGGCAGAAGGAAGCGCAUGUUUUUUUACUGUUUGACAUUUGAACCAAUAAGCAUGAACAUACUGUCCCAAACCAUAGAAAAGAAGGACUGAUGCUUUUCUUGUCUUUUUUUGAUAUUCAAUGAUUGGCCCUGAGUCAAUAGUGUAUAUUAAGUAUUGAUAAGUCAUUUUUUUCACGCGAAAAACAUUGUGUCUAAAAAUCGAUCAGUACGGUGUAGAAUAAAAUAACCGCUUGGAACUGCAUCUUGGGAGGAUUGUUCUUACAGACACUUUAUGGAUUUGUGCCGCAUUGUGAUUGCUGAAUUAACGAAAUAGGACCGUAUAUAUUAAGUGAAUUCCCCAAAAAUGUCAAAUAAAGGCUUUUUAAAUUCUGGGUUGUUUGUAUUUUGCAGUCACCUGGCAGAAGAAAAGCCGUAAGCAAUGUAAAGUUGUGCAUUUGCUGCUGUGGCAGAGAUCUAAAUGUUGUUUUAGGUUGCCGAGGCCUGUGCGUGAAUGCCGGACCGGCCCGAAUAAGCUGUUUGGCUGAUUUUCUAGUUUCUCACCCUUCAGAAUGCUGACAGCUGGCUUGGAUUAUUAACUGUGUAGCAUCUGUCUGCGUUUCACAACGCCCCCCUGCACUACUCUCCGGCUCUAAUGAGCACAGACGACGUGAGCAAGAUGGCAGUUGAGACAGAGGAGGAGGGAUGAGAUUGCCAAUGUUUCACUUUUGCAGACCUGUGGCAUUUGUAAUGUUCUCAUAAAUAUGCAUGUCGUGACUAUUUCUGUCAGCAGACAAUUAGCGUGAGUAAUGCUUUUGCCUCACAAGUCAAUCCAGGGGGAAUUGGUUGUGCAGUGAGCCAGUGUGACAUUAACACACAAUGACUUUUUAAUUCACCCAUCAACCCGCAAGCAUUUAAGAUGAAGUUUAAACGCCUCACAUGAAAAUGUACACAGUUUUAUUAAAACAUAUAAUCAAAAGAAUGUUUGCCAAUCUAACUUUUUCUCUUUUUCCUGCACACCGGAAAAAGAAUCACGAAAAUGUAGAAAGGUCUUAAUGAAGUGGAGUAAAUGGGGCGUUGAAGAGGAAAAACACUUAAUGUGUAAACACUGCCUGCUGACUACGGUAAUACUGUUCCUUUAAGCCUCAUCAGUGACUGUUUCUUUUCCUUCAACUGAGUGAAAUACUGCAUAUUUUGUGCAAAGAAAACGUUUUCAUUUUUUAAAUAUUUUAUUCACA